AAUAGAUACCCCGGUAGUCCACGCCCUAAACGAUGUCUACUAGUUGUCGGGGGGUAACUCCUUCGGUAACGCAGCUAACGCGUGAAGUAGACCGCCUGGGGAGUACGGUCGCAAGAUUAAAACUCAAAGGAAUUGACGGGGACCCGCACAAGCGGUGGAUGAUGUGGAUUAAUUCGAUGCAACGCGAAAAACCUUACCUACCCUUGACAUGCCACUAACGAAGCAGAGAUGCAUUAGGUGCCCGAAAGGGAAAGUGGACACAGGUGCUGCAUGGCUGUCGUCAGCUCGUGUCGUGAGAUGUUGGGUUAAGUCCCGCAACGAGCGCAACCCUUGCCAAUAGUUGCUACGAAAGGGCACUCUAUUGGGACUGCCGGUGACAAACCGGAAGAAGGUGGGGAUGACGUCAAGUCCUCAUGGCCCUUAUGGGUAGGGCUUCACACGUCAUACAAUGGCUGGUACAGAGGGUUGCCAAACCCGGCGAGGGGGGGUAGCCCGAAAUCCCCGACAAAACCCGAGUCGUAGUCCGGAUUGCAGUCUGCAACUCGACUGCA
rnacentral:rRNA from 1 species